rnacentral:rRNA from 1 species
AGUGGCAGACGGGUGAGUAACAUGUAGGUAUCUGCCCUUUGGCCUGGAAUAACACGAGGAAACUUGUGCUAAUACCGGAUAAGUCUUUACGGAGAAAGCUUUAUGCACCAUUGGAUGAGCCUGCACUUGAUUAGUUUGUUGGUGGGGUAAUGGCCUACCAAGACUGUGAUCAAUAGCUGAUUUGAGAGGAUGAUCAGCCACAUUGGGACUGAGACACGGCCCAAACUCCUACGGGAGGCAGCAGUGGGGAAUCUUGCACAAUGGAGGAAACUCUGAUGCAGCGAUGCCGCGUGAGUGAAGAAGGCCCUUGGGUUGUAAAGCUCUUUCGUCGGGGAAGAAAACGACUGUACCCGAAUAAGAAGGUCCGGCUAACUUCGUGCCAGCAGCCGCGGUAAUACGAAGGGACCUAGCGUAGUUCGGAAUUACUGGGCUUAAAGAGUUCGUAGGUGGUUGAAAAAGUUGGUGGUGAAAUCCCAGAGCUUAACUCUGGAACUGCCAUCAAAACUUUUCAGCUAGAGUAUGAUAGAGGAAAGCAGAAUUUCUAGUGUAGAGGUGAAAUUCGUAGAUAUUAGAAAGAAUACCAAUUGCGAAGGCAGCUUUCUGGAUCAUUACUGACACUGAGGAACGAAAGCAUGGGUAGCGAAGAGGAUUAGAUACCCUCGUAGUCCAUGCCGUAAACGAUGUGUGUUAGACGUUGGAAAUUUAUUUUCAGUGUCGCAGCGAAAGCGAUAAACACACCGCCUGGGGAGUAC